CUGACAGAUGUUGCAGAGGAGCUGGACUUCCUGCUAGACCACUUCUCCUCUGUCUUAACAAGAAAUGGCUGUGAUUCCAAUCUGGCUGGGUAGGAGUAUCAAUCCAUGAAGACAUUAAUCUUCAGGAACUACAUGGACAAGUCUUACCAUGCCUUAUGGGAGAUGAUGGUAACAAAUUUGCCAUUCUGCUCUGAUCACAAGAACAUCCACCUACAUCUUGUGCACAUCAUGCUGGUCCUCCCGGUCUCCUCUGCUGUAUGUGAAAGGGGAUUUUCGGCUCAGAAGAGGAUUAAAUCUGAUGUCAGGGGGUCCCUACAUGUAAACACUGUGGAGGACUUGAUUCGAAUUAGCAUGGGGGGACCUAGUGUACAAGAGUUUGAUGCCAAGGGAGCUGUACAAACAUGGUUCAGUUCGAGUCAAAGGUCUAGUAGGCAAAAUUACAUGGGCUGGCCUUCUGAGCCUCCUAGUGGAACACAGGAGGAUCUGCUCUAAGUAAAGGUACAAGUUGUUUAGGCCUACUGGUUCUUGUGGAAUGUUAUUGGCCAG